UUUUCCUUAUCUGAAUUAUCGCCAUUGACGUAACAGUUGAGUUGCAGAAAAUUAUGGAGAUGCAUCUCCAGAAAUUUUCAACGUUUUAUUUUCCCAGCAACCGGAGAUGCAUCUCCGAAACUUUCUAUUUUUUUCUUGUUUAUGGUGUUGUAUUCUUGCACUAAUAGCUUUACUUUAAUUUAUAGGCAUAAUGGUUGAUAGACACGAUAGACUAAGGCAUGAGAGGG
rnacentral:lncRNA from 1 species